GAAGAAACCACGAUACAUAUGCCGUGAACAUAGGGAUAUAUUACUAUGUCCAUGAUGUAUGCACAGUGAGAGAGGAAAUGUGUGUUUAUACGUUCGAUUGUAUAUACGGGAUUGAGGACAUAUACUGAUAUACGCGAGAUCACGAUUAUGCACAGGAUCGUAAUUUGUACCUACCUGGCCUUACAGAGUUGAACGAAAGCAUGCGCUUAAUGGUGAUUCGAAAACGAGCGACAAAAACGCUGCGGUUGCUUGUGGUUGCUGUUGGUUGCUGCUAGCUGCU
rnacentral:misc_RNA from 1 species